CGACGACUCACUAAGUCAGUAUGUUUUGUCACAACAGUAUUGUCAGUGGACCUUGUGUGUGCGGUCGGUUCUAUUUCACACAGCUGAAUAACCUAAGCGUCGAAAGAGUCUCGUCAAGAAUUCUCCCAUUUCAUUCAAGUCAAGUCGACAAUAUUCUUACUGAAUCAUUUAUUCAAACACUGCCGCUAGAGCUACCUACAAAACAAAUUAUUAAAAAUACAGAUGCAAAUGGAUGCAAACCAAAUUUUGGGAUCUGGUACUGAAGAACAAGUACUAUAUUGUAUGUAUAUUGAAUAACGGUUAUUAUGGGUUAUU